rnacentral:rRNA from 1 species
GUCUGGUCGACCAUACCACGUAGAAAGCACCGGUUCUCAUCCGAUCAACAAAGUUAAGCUACGUUGAGCCCGGUUAGUACUUGCAUGGGUGACCGGCUGGGAAUAUUGGGUGUUGCUGACA